GGAGAGUUGGCUGAGUGGUCGAAAGCGCCUCACUGCUAACGAGGUAAGGUGUAAAAGCCUUCAAGGGUUCGAAUCCCUUACUCUCCG
rnacentral:tRNA from 1 species